UUAAGUGAAGAGUUUGAUCCUGGCUCAGAGUGAACGCUGGCGGCAGGCCUAACACAUGCAAGUCGAACGGCAGCACAGCAGU
rnacentral:rRNA from 1 species